rnacentral:lncRNA from 1 species
UUCGUUGUAGUUAUUAUCUUUUCUUUAUGCUUGCAGGUUUUCUCUUACCGGACAACAGGGAAGUUUUGACUCAAAGGGUCUAGUUCUCCAUGUGGUGAUUUUAAAGAGGAGAGUAUCAAGUGGGAUUCUUCUUAGAGGUUCGUUUGCGGCCCUUUCUACUUUUGGAAUCUUCUCCCCUUCUUUUUCUUCUGUUUUGAGCCUUUAUUAAUAGAAAAAUAUCAGAUCUGGAGUUCUUUGUUUUAGUUGUGAUGAUGGGAAGCGAAUAUAGCAAGAUUGUCAGAGGAAGGUCGCAAAACCAAGACCAAUCUAGAAGGCGCAAGUGAGUUCACCAAAAAACCUUCCUCCUUCUCGUUGUAAGGAGUUAAUUUGGGUUUUUCUGGUUGGCCUCUCCUUGCAUGCGUCCUCCUUAGUAGAUUCGCACCAUUCUCCUUGUGGAUAGCCAUCCCAGUUUCUUUCAAUGCUCAGUUCCCUUAUUGGCUAGAAAAUCUGUCUGGAGAUGAGCACUUAGAUGAGUGGCAUUGUGCAUAUGAAGGCAUUGCUUGGGGUUGGACUGCUUGGGUUGCCAGAUCAGGGUAGAUAGAUUCCGUUCCUGAUUCCAAUUUAGACUUCAGCUUUCGGGAUGUGGGCCUGUAUACUUUGAGGUUGAAUUGAACCGCUUUAUAAUGAGUUGGACUUUUUAGAUACUUUAGGCCGAACGUCUAAUGUACUGUUCUCAACUUUUUACGGCUUAAUGAAACCACACUUCUGGCAAAUGAAAAAAAAGAAACUAUAGAGACUGCUAUAUAUAUAUAUAUAUAUAUAUAUAUACAUGAGAGAGAGAGCGGAGACGAGUAAUCUUUUAAAUGUUGCAGUUCUGCCAGCAAUAGUUUCCUAAUGCAAAAUGUCUUUCCUCAAGGAAACGCCAACCGACUUGGCAUUUUCUUAUUUACUCCAUGAUGUUGGCUUCUGUUCACUUAAACUGAGAAUGACUCAUUUCUUUGUUUAUUUUUUGCCUCAUAGAGAGAGAAUGCUACGUUUUCUUUGUUUAUUUUUCUGCCCCCAAGACAGACUCAGACAAAAUGGCAAUUAAGU